rnacentral:rRNA from 1 species
UACGGGGGGGGCAAGCGUUGUUCGGAAUUACUGGGCGUAAAGAGCGCGCAGGCGGUCGAUCAAGUCGAGUGUGAAAGCCCCCGGCUCAACUGGGGAGGGUCAUUCGAUACUGAUCGACUCGAAGGCAGGAGAGGGUAGUGGAAUUCCCGGUGUAGUGGUGAAAUGCGUAGAUAUCGGGAGGAACACCAGUGGCGAAGGCGACUACCUGGCCUGUUCUUGACGCUGAGGAGCGAAAGCGUGGGGAGCGAACAGG